CGAAACUCUAAAACUCUCAAAUCAUCCAAAGUUUCAAGUUUGGGUAGAUUCAUACAAGUUUCAAAUAAGAUAACUUGGUGAAUUUAUCAACUCAUGCUUUUGUGGAAUAUACGUACGAAAACCGAGAUGCAUGAUGAUGCUCAAGAAAUAUACUUAUGGUGGAUUUAGAAACGCGCCAAUUUUAUUUAUGUAUUUCUUUUAUGUUUUGUCUUGUUACUUUUCAAGUUGUUGUGAUUUCUUUUGA